rnacentral:tRNA from 1 species
GCCCGGAUGGUGGAAUCGGUAGACACAAGGAUUUAAAAUCCCUCGGCGUUCGCGCUGUGCGGGUUCAAGUCCCGCUCCGGGUACCA